GACGAACGCUGGCGGCGUGCUUAACACAUGCAAGUCGAACGGAAAGGCCCUGCUUUUGUGGGGUGCUCGAGUGGCGAACGGGUGAGUAACACGUGAGUAACCUGCCCUUGACUUUGGGAUAACUUCAGGAAACUGGGGCUAAUACCGGAUAGGAGCUCCUGCUGCAUGGUGGGGGUUGGAAAGUUUCGGCGGUUGGGGAUGGACUCGCGGCUUAUCAGCUUGUUGGUGGGGUAGUGGCUUACCAAGGCUUUGACGGGUAGCCUGCCUGAGAGGGUGACCGGCAACAUAGGGACGGAGAUACGGCCCAGACGCAUAAGGGAGGAAGGAGUGGGGAAUAUUGCACAAUGGGCGGAAGCCGGAUGCAGAAACGCCGCGUGCGGGAUGACGGCAUUCGGGUGGUAAACCGCUUUCGACUGUGACGAAGCGUGAGUGACGGUAAUGGGUAAAGAAGCACCGGCUAACUACGG
rnacentral:rRNA from 1 species